rnacentral:miRNA from 1 species
UCCUCUUCCUCUUCCUCCUCCUCCUCUUCCUCCUCCUCCUCUUCCUCCUCCUCAGACCUGCAGACAGCUCAUUUAUUGCUCCGUUUAAAUUGAAUUAUCAGCUUUUUAUUACGACGCAGAGCGAGCCGCAGGCUCUGAUCCUCAUUACCCAGCAUGUUGUUGUUACGGAGUAUUGAUCAGGACUGAUUGAUCGGAGGCUGGGAAGCUUCACAAACU